GACGAACGCUGGCGGCGUGCCUAAUACAUGCAAGUCGAACGAAGCUGUUUUAACUGGUGCUUGCACCGACUUAAACAACUGAGUGGCGAACGGGUGAGUAACACGUGGGUAACCUGCCCCAAAGCGGGGGAUAACAUUUGGAAACAGAUGCUAAUACCGCAUAACCACAGAAACCACAUGGUUUCUGUGUAAAAGAUGGUUUCGGCUAUCACUUUGGGAUGGACCCGGGGCGUAUUAGCUAGUUGGUAAGGAAAUGGCUUACCAAGGCAAUGAUACGUAGCCGAACUGAGAAGUGGAUCGGCCACAUUGGGACUGAGACACGGCCCAAACUCCUACGGGAGGCAGCAGUAGGGAAUCUUCCACAAUGGACGAAAGGCUGAUGGAGCAACGCCGCGUGAGUGAAGAAGGUUUUCGGAUCGUAAAACUCUGUUGUUAAAGAAGAACGUAUCUAAGAGUAACUGCUUAGGUAGUGACGGUAUUUAACCAGAAAGCCACGGCUAACUACGUGCCAGCAGCCGCCGUAA
rnacentral:rRNA from 1 species